AUGGGGCAGGGGCUGGGGGAGAAGCCGGAGCCCUUGCCGGGGCCAGCGCUGGGUGCAAAGCAUCUGGGUUUGGAGCGAGGCUCCGAGCUGUGGACGUUGCCUCCCUCCACCUUCCUCCUCCUCCUGGCAGCCCUCCCAGGGCUGCGGGCGGCCGUGCAGCUGGUCGAGUCCGGAGGGGGCCACCAGACCCCCGGGGGGUCCCUGACCCUCCUCUGCAAGGCCUCCGGCUUCUCCUUCAGCAGCACCGGCAUGGGAUGGGUGCGACAGGCCCCCGGGAAGGGGCUCGAGUACGUUGCACGUAUUACCAGCUAUGGUAGCACAUUCUACGCGCCGUCGGUCAAGGGGCGCUUCACCAUCUCCAAAGACAACUCCCAGAGCACGGUCACGCUGCAGAUGAACAGCCUCAAGACCGACGACACGGGCACCUAUUUCUGCGCGAAAUCU